rnacentral:miRNA from 1 species
GAGUUUGUGGAGCGCGUGGUCUG